rnacentral:lncRNA from 1 species
ACCUACAGGCUUGAGUGAAGUGAAGAAUUAAGGCUAUUAUCUGUAUAAUUCAAACCCAAACCUACCUUUCUGUGAAUUUAUAGGACAAUUUAGGUCCUAGCUGAAUAAUUCAGAAAAAGAUAAUCACCUCAAUUAUUUAGAUGGCCAUCUCAUCCCCUUAUAUAUUCCAUCUCUCUAACUCUGAGGUGGAAAGUUGACAGCAAUUAAAUCUCUCAACCGCACUGCCCAUAGGAGGCCACUGAAUUUGGACCAAUGUGGUGCCCCAAACGGGAAGAGUGGGAACAGACCCAGAUAAGCCAAUGCAUAUGGAAGACAUUUGUCCUAAAUCAAGGUAAGAGGUGCUCACCCAUCUGACCAAGGUUCCAAACUAUAGACUCAAGAAAAGGCUUGGAAGUUAUCAUCCCAAGCCAGUUUGCUCUAGACCCUGUGAGCUUGUCACUGAUUGGGUACAGGAGGACUCAGCACCCUUCUCGGGCAGUGUCCCUCCUCGCCCAUCAAUUCUGGUCCUGCUGAGUUUGCAGAAGAACCUCAUUUCCUGGCCCUGUCCGAGUGGAGGGCAGGGCGUGGGAAGUUGUGCAUCUGAGACAGGUCAGCCAGCCGCAUGGGGAAUGGCACCACUUACAUUUACAUGGGGCUGAUGGAGAGCCUGUGAGAAGAUACCUGAUGAGGUCAGCAGGGCUCAAGAGGAAAGUGGUCCCUUUCCAGGAUGACUCUGGGACAAUGGGGAGGCCCUACUGGCUGGCCUGGCUUUGGCUGUUUCUGUCUGGGUGGCACCUCUAGGUCCCCGCAAGUCUCUGCAUGUUCGUGUGCACGUGGCUUUCUGUGUACAGACGCAGGGUGCCAGCCUGUCCAGGCUGGUGGGUUCAGCUUUCCUUUGUGCUAACAUUAAUCUGCCUGGCCCCAUCCCCCAGCCUCUCGCUGCACAUUAACCUAAAAUAUGAGCGCAUGCUCGGGUCUUGCCUGUGUUGGCCGCCCCCGAGCCCACAGCAUCCCUGCCCCCUCCUCCAGCCCUCUUAUCUAAAGCAGCGUGUCACUGCAAUUUUAUGGUCAACAUUACAGACUCAAGCCCUCCUUUGAACCAAUCAAACUGCACUGAAUAUGUUAAGGGAAUCCAGGCUUUCUGGAAGGAGCCUGCGUCCUGAGCCGCACUGCCUGACCUCUCUAAGAGCAGCCCCCAUAAAUCUGCCUCACGUGAUGGGAGAUGGGCUUUUCAGGAUCUCUCAGGGUGCUUUGAGGUAGCACUUCUAUGAACUCCUUGCCACAAUAAAUAAUGCUACCUGCAAUAUGUCUUUGCGAGUGUGUCAGCAGCUGCUGUCCUGCCAUGAAUUUUUAUUCUUGUGCCGUCUGGAAGAUAGAUUCCAGAUUCAGCAUUUCCCCGCACUUAGUGUCAGAUCUCUUUACCCCCUUGCCCCAGCAGAAUGACAGAGACCACAAAUAAAAUAAAAAAAAUUAAAAAAACAGCCUAGAAAAAAAUGGCCCAAGACCAGAGGGAAACAACCACGCUCACCUCACUACAGGAGAGAGAGCCUCCUGUGUGAUGGCAAUGACUAGGUGGGAGGAAGGAUGAAAAGCCAGGCAAUUCAGAGUCCUCAGAAAGUAAGCAAUUCACCUGGGCUGGCUGGAGAAAGGGGGUUUCUACCAGGUAAAGCUGUUGGAUGAGAGGAAAGCCCAUUUUGAGUCAAUAAACCAUUAUAAAGGAAAGCAAUAGAAAUCUGUUUUCAAACCUCAGUUAGAUAGUUAUUGCACUGGUCGGAUGCUAGGCAAUUGGUCCAUGAAAAGAGGGCAAUGGAUUCCGAAAUAGCGUGGUGAUUGGUGAUGACAUCCAAGAUAAGUUGCUGUGGUCUGAGAGCUAAAGAGGAGGAAGGAAGCUACUACCAUAGCUUCAGAACAGCAAUAAGUGGAUUCCCAAAUUUCACAGACACGCGUGUCUCUGCCGAUCUAGACACAAGUGUCCGCACAGCUGGGUAUGUUUUACUAGUCGUCAUUGCUGCAACUUCAGAUCUUCUGAAGCUAAAACUCAGCACCGUGAUGCCAAGGCAUUUCCCCUUCUUUGAAAUGUUCCAAGUCCCAGGAAACUUCUGCAUGACUGAUGUGCCAGCCAUAUCCAUUACGGUGGGAGACAGCACAGGGAAGGAAGAAAGAAAAUAUGGCUUUGAUAUGUUAACAUCGCACAAAGGCAGAUUAUUUCAUUUUCCAUGCUGCUUCCUCUUCAGAGAGGGUCAUAUUCAGUGGUGUCCUGGCAGGAAUCACACAGAUGAAGCUCCUGUGUAUACACAAUCCCAGUCUCAUAACUGAACCCACAAUGUCGGCCGACUUCCAGAUCAGCGUUUUGCCAAAUGUGAAGUGUGUAGGCAUCACCUGGGGAUCUUAAAACACAGACUGUGGUCCAGCAAGUUUUGGGCUGGGGGCUGAGAGUCUGCAUUUCUAACAAGCUCCCAGGUGCUGCUGACACUGUUGGGCCAUCUGCUGGAGAACAAGGCUUUUGGUUAUCGCAGGUUCCUAUGUGCCCAGUACUGCUCUUCUUCCCUGGACUGUCUUUGUGGGCUCCAAAUCCAGGAGAGAGUGCUCUGUUCCUUUCUUCAUAUAUGUUGCUCUUGGUUCUUCAUAUAUAUAUAUAUAUAUAUUAUUUUUUAAAAAACUCAUAAUGUAAGAUCUGGGCCAACGAAGCUUCUGGGUUUAGCAGUGAUGAGCUUGCUAGGCUCCACACAAGGGAACCUCUUGGUUUAUGCAGAAUGUCAGCCUUAAUUGGUGGCCUCCUAGUGUCCUGCCCUGUGUCAAUGCCGCAUUAUCUCUAGCCUCCCAGGGCCAUGGGUCAGUUUCAUAGUAUGGUGGGUCCUGAGAGAAGGGUAUGGAGUUAGGUGGGGACUACAAGGAAAUCUCUGCUGAUCAAGUGGCCAACAACCAACUGGGAUGUGGGACCAUGGGCUCCCUUGACACACUCUGGUUCCUCUCUAAGACAACAAGGACAGCAAGAUUACAAAACUGCCAACCUAGAAUGGAGGAUGUGGUCAGCAACGUCCUUGCCAAAUGCACUUUUGAUGGAAAAUUAAAGUUUCUUGGGGUGAAUAUAGUCUUUGAAGUAAUAAGUAUGGAAGCUUCUCUGACAUCCCACCAUGCUCAAAUAAAGUGGCUGAGUGUAAGCAAUUCCUGCCUGUCAAAUCAUCUGAGGCCAAGCAUGAUCACUCAUUUGUAAACUGGGCUUUCUGCCUGCUGAAUACCUUUUAAAAACAGAAGCUCUCUCCUAAUUGCCUGGGUUGACCUAUAUUUAGAAACCUGAAGCAUGCUGGUGUCAUGGAGAAGCCAGAAAAACAUUGGAGUUAAUCACUAAAUCAAUCUGGGCUGACCCUGAGAGGAGCACCAAAGGUUGUUGGUCAAGGAGCUUUCGGAGGCUGGACUUAAAAGAACUCUCUUGUUUCUCUGAAACUUGGAAAAGCUGUUUCUUUCUGCAAAGACAUAUGCUCAGAAUAGAAUCUGGUCUGCUCUAGGACAGCCCUUUGAAUCUCAUGCCAGUAACCAGCUCAAGAGUAACUUCACUGGGUUUGGGGGUCCUCUCUGGGCUCCUCUCUGACCUCCAAGGUGGAGAUGGAAUCACUGGAACAGAUGGAAUCACUGGAACAAUAUGCUCAUGGCCAAGAGAAACAAGCCAUGAGAUCCUUUUCUUCCCUUCUCGUCUCGGCCAGCUCUCCUCCUCUUAGGGCAUCUUUCUGGUUUCUUAUUGUUCUGGUUUGUCAAAAUUCACAGUUUAGAUGGUUCCUUCAAUGAUUUUACUCCUAAUGCAGUGAUGAUCAUUUUUUAAAAGUUCACAGAAUUUGAAAAAAAUUGGGGACACGACAAGAAUUAUGACACAUUAUUUUUAGUUCACGUGAACAGUGAGGUGUCAUUUGGAUAUGGGUACAAGGUACGUAGAAAGUCAGUAAUUACCUCCAUGGAACACUGAACAGAAAAUUUAGGAAUCUCCUCGAUUCUGUAGAGCUGGUAUCCAUCCUCAAAUUUGCUGGCUCUUAUUUUUGCUAGAUGGUGGCUUGAUUUUGAUGCUGAAGGAUAUCAACACUGAAGGCAGGAGGGAGUAGAACCUAGGACCUUGAACCAUUUCCAGAUAAUUACUGAUCAUCUGAGUCCUGCAGAAAAUACUCGUUAGAUAGACGGGUGAUGGAAAAACAUGGUAUAUUUUUUGAGAUUUAGGUUUGGAUAUCUAGCUAGUUAAUGCUAAGGUUAAAUUAAGAUAUCUGAAUGACAUACAAAUAUAUUUUUAAUUCUUGCAUCGAAUUUUGGAGAGCUAGAGAUGUUAAGUAACGUUGGAACAGAAUAAAUUAUACAUUUAUCAUCAGCUAUUUAUGGACUAUUUAAGACUCAUUUUUGAGGAGAUAAACAUGUAUAAGACAUCUUUACCUUCAGGAAAUUUAUAUUCUAAUUGUUGGAAUGAGACUAAGUCACUAAAACAAUUAGAAGUACAUACAUAUAUAAAUUAAGGGCCAAAGGAUAUGACAUGAUGUUAUGUGAUAUACAUAAUAAUAAGAGUUUGUGGAAGUAGGGUAUUUAUUUUUACUUAUUUAUUUAUAUAUUUAUUUUUGCCUUUUGUCUUUUUUUUUUUUUUUUUUUUUUUUAGGGCCUCACCUGCCGGCAUAUGGAGGUUCCCAGGCUAGGGGUCUGAUCAGAGCUAUUGUUGCCGGCCUAUGCUACAGCCACAGCAAUGCCAGAUCUGAGCCAUGUCUUCAACCUACAACACAGCUCAUGGCAAUGCUGGAUCCUUAACCCACUGAGCGAGGCCAGGUAUUGAGCCGCCAACCUCACAGUUCCUAGUUGGAUUCGUUUCCACUGCACCGCAAUGGGAACUCCGAGAAGUAGGAUAUUGAUGAGAGACUUAGAACCAUAGAAAGGCUCUUGAUGGUAGCAUUUGUGUAGGGAACAGGACAGACAUUCCAAGGAACUGAAACGAUACAGAGAAGCCAUGAAGUUCAGCAGAUGCUCAGGGGUAGCAGCAAGACUUGGCCUCGCAGCAGAAGGGGCCUGUCAGGGGACUGUAGGAAUCAAGUUGGAUGGUCUGGGAAGGGACAGGUUAGAAGGAUGUUCACACUUGAUUAUGGAAAUGAAGACACCGAAAGUUAUUUUUAAACAGAGGAGUCCUAUAAUGGGAACAGAUUUUGGCCAACCAGGGAAGGUGCCCUAAACUCUCAAACAUGUGGUCACAGGAAGCUGGGAAAUAACACAGCCUUGGAGAAGAGGAAGCUAGGCUGAUUCAACUUGAUCCAUUAAGAAAACAGUACUUCAUAGAGGGCCAAGAUGAUUGCAACUGUCUCCUGGCCCUGAUCCCCUCAAUGGGUCUCUGAUCUAUAAGGAUCCGGAAAGUUGU